GACGAACGCUGGCGGCGUGCUUAACACAUGCAAGUCGAACGGAAAGGCCCUGCUUGCAGGGUACUCGAGUGGCGAACGGGUGAGUAACACGUGGGAUGAUCUGCCCUGCACUUCGGGAUAAGCCUGGGAAACUGGGUCUAAUACCGGAUAGGAGCCAUUUUUAGUGUGAUGGUUGGAAAGUUUUUUCGGUGUAGGAUGAGCUCGCGGCCUAUCAGCUUGUUGGUGGGGUAAUGGCCUACCAAGGCGGCGACGGGUAGCCGGCCUGAGAGGGUGGACGGCCACAUUGGGACUGAGAUACGGCCCAGACUCCUACGGGAGGCAGCAGUGGGGAAUAUUGCACAAUGGGCGCAAGCCUGAUGCAGCGACGCCGCGUGGGGGAUGACGGCCUUCGGGUUGUAAACUCCUUUCGCUAGGGACGAAGCUUUUUGUGACGGUACCUAGAUAAGAAGCACCGGCUAACUACGUG
rnacentral:rRNA from 1 species